GUGGAGGAAGAGAGUGCAUGUGAAGAGAGGUUUGCCUUUGCAGGACUCCACCCUUCCACAAGUGGGUAGCACAGAGGAGGAUAUGGUUCCUGGGCUCCUGCUAUCUAAGCUUCAGGUAAAUUGGGAUUUUCAGUUUGUUUCCUGAAGUACCAUCUUAUUUCAGAGAGUUUUUA
rnacentral:lncRNA from 1 species